rnacentral:rRNA from 1 species
UACGUAGGGUGCAAGCGUUGUCCGGAAUUAUUGGGCGUAAAGAGCUUGUAGGUGGUUUGUCGCGUCUGCUGUGAAAAUCCGAGGCUCAACCUCGGACUUGCAGUGGGUACGGGCAGACUAGAGUGUGGUAGGGGAGACUGGAAUUCCUGGUGUAGCGGUGGAAUGCGCAGAUAUCAGGAGGAACACCGAGUGGCGAAGGCAGGUCCCUGGGCCGUAACUGACGCUGAGGAGCGAAAGCAUGGGAGCGAACAGG